GGGAGGGCAGCUCAGUCGGCAGAGCGCUCGGGUGUUACCCGUGUGUUCGUAGGUUCGAGGCCCACCCUCCCA
rnacentral:tRNA from 1 species